rnacentral:misc_RNA from 1 species
GAUGAAGAACAUAGUGAAAUGCGAUACGUAAUGUGAAUUACAGAAUUCAGUGAAUCAUCGAGUCUUUGAACGCACAUUGCGCCCCCUGGUAUUCCGGGGGGCAUGCCUGUCCGAGCGUCAUUGCUGCCCUCAAGCACGGCUUGUGUGUUGGGCCUCCGUCCUCCUCCCGGGGGACGGGCCCGAAAGGCAGCGGCGGCACCGCGUCCGGUCCUCGAGCGUAUGGGGCUUCGUCACCCGCUCUUGUAGGCCCGGCCGGCGCUUGCCGACACAUCAAUCUUUUUUCCAGGUUGACCUCGGAUCAGGUAGGGAUACCCGCUGAACUUAAGCAUAUCAAUAAGCGGAGGA